GCGGGUGUGGUGGAAUUGGUAGACACGCCAGAUUUAGGAUCUGGUGGCGCAAGCUGUGGAAGUUCGAGUCUUCUCACCCGCACCA
rnacentral:tRNA from 1 species